CUUGAACGACCCCAGGUACAGCGGGACCUCCCGGUCCUGCCCGUAGGUGGCCAGCAGGGCCUGGGCCUC
rfam:Actinokineospora spheciospongiae strain EG49 contig1266_4, whole genome shotgun sequence.